UCUUUGUAAUAAAUAUGAUUAAACAAUGUAAUAAUAGUUAUUAGUAAAAGUAAUUCAGUAAAAGUGUUUCCGUAUAUAUAUUUCUUACGUAGAGGGCAUGAAUAAGGGGACCCCAGUGAGAUGUUUUGAUAUUAUCUGCUCGGGUUGGCGUGUGCAGGAGUGGAGCUGAGGAAGACGUGCACAAGAGCAUCCCCUUGAGCAACCCCCACACCAGUCUUACUCUCAGACAAACUUCUUGGAGCCGAACAGCGUUGUGUGUGUGCAUGCGCGUGCCGUCCAGCAGCUUCGCCAGUUUGUCAGUGUCUUCUUGAUUUUUGAUCUUCUAGUCCUCUGUGGUUGGCUUUCUUCUUUUCCUUUUUUAGAAAACAGUAGAAUUCUAUUGUAACGGACCAAACACAUUAGCGGCGUCUAUCAUCUAUCUUUCAGUGUAUGAAAAUGAAUCUGGUCCAAGAGGUAGCAGUGUUCUAACGCGGAGAGUCCGAUGGACAGUGAAACUGCGGAGGUUCGUAGUGAGUGCUGCCUCUCCCUCGUGCUCCAAAUGUGCUAGGGGCACACGGGUGUUACACUUCCUUCUUUCUCUUGAAAAACAACAUAUCAAUAGAAUGAUGUUUAAACUCACAAUGAUCGUUUAAGUACAGCAUUGAACAAUGAGGAUUAGUUUUAAAAAUGAUUUUUAAAAUAAUAUUUUUAAACUUCAUUAUUUGCAUGAAGAGCAGAAUAUGGAGUGAAAACAUUCAGUGUAACUUCAAUGUCUAUUUUUUAUCUUUUCUUUACAUUAUGAAGCACUAGGUACAUGUGAGAUUACAUUAUCUUAUUUUAAAGAUACAAAUAAAACGUAUAUCUAAAUCAGAAUGCACAUUCUUAGCUUCCAUUGUUAUUGUUUCUACGGUAUUAUACAUGGAUUUUAUGACAAUUAUACGUUCCUAC